CCUACGGGUGGCAGCAGUGGGGAAUAUUGGGCAAUGGGCGCAAGCCUGACCCAGCAACGCCGCGUGAAGGAAGAAGGCUUUCGGGUUGUAAACUUCUUUUAUCAGGGACGAAACAAGUGACGGUACCUGAUGAAUAAGCCACCGCUAACUACGUGCCAGCAGCCGCUGUAAUACGUAGGUGGCAAGCGUUAUCCGGAUUUACUGGUUUUAAAGGGCGUGUAGGCGGGAGUGCAAGUCAGAUGUGAAAACUAUGGGCUCAACCCAUAGACUGCAUUUGAUACUGUACUUCUUGAGUGCUGGGGAGGUAAGCGGAAUUCGGUGUGUAGCGGUGAAAUGCGUAGAUAUAAGGAGGAACACCAGUGGCGAUGGCGGAUUGCUGGACAGCAACUGACGCUGAGGCUCGAAAGCGUGGGGAGCAAACAGGAUUAGAUACCCUUGUAGUC
rnacentral:rRNA from 1 species